rnacentral:rRNA from 1 species
AGAGUUUGAUCCUGGCUCAGGAUGAACGCUGGCGGCGCGCCUAACACAUGCAAGUCGAACGGCACCUGCCCUCGGGCAGAAGCGAGUGGCGAACGGCUGAGUAACACGUGGAGAACCUGCCCCCUCCCCCGGGAUAGCCGCCCGAAAGGACGGGUAAUACCGGAUACCCCGGGGGGGCGCAUGGCACCCCGGCUAAGGCCCCGACGGGAGGGGAUGGCUCCGCGGCCCAUCAGGUAGACGGCGGGGUGACGGCCCACCGUGCCGACAACGGGUAGCCGGGUUGAGAGACCGACCGGCCAGAUUGGGACUGAGACACGGCCCAGACUCCUACGGGAGGCAGCAGUGGGGAAAUCUUGCGCAAUGGGGGGAACCCUGACGCAGCGACGCCGCGUGCGGGACGGAGGCCUUCGGGUCGUAAACCGCUUUCAGCAGGGAAGAGUCAAGACUGUACCUGCAGAAGAAGCCCCGGCUAACUACGUGCCAGCAGCCGCGGUAAUACGUAGGGGGCGAGCGUUAUCCGGAUUCAUUGGGCGUAAAGCGCGCGUAGGCGGCCCGGCAGGCCGGGGGUCGAAGCGGGGGGCUCAACCCCCCGAAGCCCCCGGAACCUCCGCGGCUUGGGUCCGGUAGGGGAGGGUGGAACACCCGGUGUAGCGGUGGAAUGCGCAGAUAUCGGGUGGAAACACCGGUGGCGAAGGCGGCCCUCUGGGCCGAGACCGACGCUGAGGCGCGAAAGCUGGGGGAGCGAACAGGAUUAGAUACCCUGGUAGUCCCAGCCGUAAACGAUGGACGCUAGGUGUGGGGGGACGAUCCCCCCGUGCCGCAGCCAACGCAUUAAGCGUCCCGCCUGGGGAGUACGGCCGCAAGGCUAAAACUCAAAGGAAUUGACGGGGGCCCGCACAAGCAGCGGAGCAUGUGGCUUAAUUCGAAGCAACGCGAAGAACCUUACCAGGGCUUGACAUAUGGGUGAAGCGGGGGAGACCCCGUGGCCGAGAGGAGCCCAUACAGGUGGUGCAUGGCUGUCGUCAGCUCGUGUCGUGAGAUGUUGGGUUAAGUCCCGCAACGAGCGCAACCCCCGCCGCGUGUUGCCAUCGGGUGAUGCCGGGAACCCACGCGGGACCGCCGCCGUCAAGGCGGAGGAGGGCGGGGACGACGUCAAGUCAUCAUGCCCCUUAUGCCCUGGGCUGCACACGUGCUACAAUGGCCGGUACAGAGGGAUGCCACCCCGCGAGGGGGAGCGGAUCCCGGAAAGCCGGCCCCAGUUCGGAUUGGGGGCUGCAACCCGCCCCCAUGAAGUCGGAGUUGCUAGUAAUCGCGGAUCAGCAUGCCGCGGUGAAUGCGUUCCCGGGCCUUGCACACACCGCCCGUCA